rnacentral:lncRNA from 1 species
CGAUCAAGUAAGAAUAAGUGAUCAGACCAAUCAGUUAGUAUUUGUCCAAAAAAAAAAAACCAAUCAGUUAGUAAUUCAUUCAUAUGACAUCAGAUGUAGUCAUGGAGAAGAUGUUAUGUUUCGGCCUUUUUGCUGACUAAUUAUACUUAGUAUUAUUUAAGGGAGAAGAUGUAGUAUUAUUUAAGGGAUUAAGUCCUUCAAUCUUAGUUGUUUAAAUCGUGAUGGUAUAAUAUUAUAUAAUUAACGAGUUUCGUGUUUGAUAAAAAUAGAAAUAAAGACUAAGUCUAUCAUUAAUUUUUAAUGUGAUGUGAUUAGUCUAGCUCGACCGGUACGUCCAUAAUUCGAAAAGGAUCUUAUUCGAGUUAGUUGGUGUAUCAUUUUUUCAACUUUGACAUAUAUAUCUUCA